rnacentral:rRNA from 1 species
UGGGGAAUAUUGCACAAUGGGCGCAAGCCUGAUGCAGCAACGCCGCGUGAGGGAUGACGGCCUUCGGGUUGUAAACCUCUUUUAGCAGGGAAGAAGCGAAAGUGACGGUACCUGCAGAAAAAGCACCGGCUAACUACGUGCCAGCAGCCGCGGUAAUACGUAGGGUGCAAGCGUUGUCCGGAAUUAUUGGGCGUAAAGAGCUCGUAGGCGGUCUGUCGCGUCUGCUGUGAAAUCCCGAGGCUCAACCUCGGGCCUGCAGUGGGUACGGGCAGACUAGAGUGCGGUAGGGGAGAAUGGAACUCCUGGUGUAGCGGUGGAAUGCGCAGAUAUCAGGAAGAACACCGAUGGCGAAGGCAGUUCUCUGGGCCGUAACUGACGCUGAGGAGCGAAAGCGUGGGGAGCGAACAGGAUUAGAUACCCUGGUAGUCCACGCCGUAAACGUUGGGCGCUAGAUGUGGGGACCAUUCCACGGUUUCCGUGUCGCAGCUAACGCAUUAAGCGCCCCGCCUGGGGAGUACGGCCGCAAGGCUAAAACUUAAAUGAAUUGACGGGGUCAUAGCUGUUUCCU